GGGGAAUUAGCUCAGCUGGCUAGAGCGCCUGCUUUGCAAGCAGGAGGUCAUCGGUUCGACUCCGAUAUUCUCCA
rnacentral:tRNA from 2 species